rnacentral:rRNA from 1 species
GGGUUGUGAGGUUAAGCGACUAAGCGUACACGGUGGAUGCCCUGGCAGUCAGAGGCGAUGAAGGACGUGCUAAUCUGCGAUAAGCGUCGGUAAGGUGAUAUGAACCGUUAUAACCGGCGAUUUCCGAAUGGGGAAACCCAGUGUGUUUCGACACACUAUCAUUAACUGAAUCCAUAGGUUAAUGAGGCGAACCGGGGGAACUGAAACAUCUAAGUACCCCGAGGAAAAGAAAUCAACCGAGAUUCCCCCAGUAGCGGCGAGCGAACGGGGAGGAGCCCAGAGCCUGAAUCAGUGUGUGUGUUAGUGGAAGCGUCUGGAAAGGCGCGCGAUACAGGGUGACAGCCCCGUACACAAAAAUGCACAUAUUGUGAGCUCGAUGAGUAGGGCGGGACACGUGGUAUCCUGUCUGAAUAUGGGGGGACCAUCCUCCAAGGCUAAAUACUCCUGACUGACCGAUAGUGAACCAGUACCGUGAGGGAAAGGCGAAAAGAACCCCGGCGAGGGGAGUGAAAAAGAACCUGAAACCGUGUACGUACAAGCAGUGGGAGCCUCUUUUAUGGGGUGACUGCGUACCUUUUGUAUAAUGGGUCAGCGACUUAUAUUCUGUAGCAAGGUUAACCGAAUAGGGGAGCCGAAGGGAAACCGAGUCUUAACUGGGCGUUAAGUUGCAGGGUAUAGACCCGAAACCCGGUGAUCUAGCCAUGGGCAGGUUGAAGGUUGGGUAACACUAACUGGAGGACCGAACCGACUAAUGUUGAAAAAUUAGCGGAUGACUUGUGGCUGGGGGUGAAAGGCCAAUCAAACCGGGAGAUAGCUGGUUCUCCCCGAAAGCUAUUUAGGUAGCGCCUCGUGAACUCAUCUCCGGGGGUAGAGCACUGUUUCGGCAAGGGGGUCAUCCCGACUUACCAACCCGAUGCAAACUGCGAAUACCGGAGAAUGUUAUCACGGGAGACACACGGCGGGUGCUAACGUCCGUCGUGAAGAGGGAAACAACCCAGACCGCCAGCUAAGGUCCCAAAGUCAUGGUUAAGUGGGAAACGAUGUGGGAAGGCCCAGACAGCCAGGAUGUUGGCUUAGAAGCAGCCAUCAUUUAAAGAAAGCGUAAUAGCUCACUGGUCGAGUCGGCCUGCGCGGAAGAUGUAACGGGGCUAAACCAUGCACCGAAGCUGCGGCAGCGACGCUGAUGCGUUGUUGGGUAGGGGAGCGUUCUGUAAGCCUGUGAAGGUGUGCUGUGAGGCAUGCUGGAGGUAUCAGAAGUGCGAAUGCUGACAUAAGUAACGAUAAAGCGGGUGAAAAGCCCGCUCGCCGGAAGACCAAGGGUUCCUGUCCAACGUUAAUCGGGGCAGGGUGAGUCGACCCCUAAGGCGAGGCCGAAAGGCGUAGUCGAUGGGAAACAGGUUAAUAUUCCUGUACUUGGUGUUACUGCGAAGGGGGGACGGAGAAGGCUAUGUUGGCCGGGCGACGGUUGUCCCGGUUUAAGCGUGUAGGCUGGUUUUCCAGGCAAAUCCGGAAAAUCAAGGCUGAGGCGUGAUGACGAGGCACUACGGUGCUGAAGCAACAAAUGCCCUGCUUCCAGGAAAAGCCUCUAAGCAUCAGGUAACAUCAAAUCGUACCCCAAACCGACACAGG